AUAACCCAGCUACCUAGCAGUAGUAGCACCUCGAUCAACACACAACACAAGGCAGUAUGCGUUCAGCUCGCCACCUCCACCUCCCGGUCUGGGCCCUCCUUCUCCUCCUGCACUUCUUAGCCUUCGUCCCGGCAGCCAGAGCACAGCAAGAAAUCGACGAUGAAUCGGAGUUCAGCUACGUCCGCGGAGCCAAGAACGGGCCGGAGAACUGGGGCAAGAUCAAGGAGGAGUGGGCGACGUGCGGCACGGGGAGGAUGCAGUCGCCCAUCCACCUCUCCGACCGCCGUGCCUCGCGCGCGCCCCACCUCGGCUACCUCAUCACCGCCUACGCCCCCGCCAAGGCCUCCAUCGUCAACCGCGGCCACGACAUCGCGGUGAUGUUCCACGGCGACGCCGGGAGCUUGUGGAUCAACGACACCCUUUACCACCUCAGUCAGGUGCACUGGCACUCCCCCAGCGAGCACCGCCUAAACGGCCGCCGGUACAGCCUGGAGCUCCACAUGGUUCACCUCAGCGCCGAGAACAAGGCUGCCGUGAUCGGCCUCCUCUACGAUAUCGGCAGCCCGGACGAUUUCCUGCACAAGCUCGAGCCUUACCUGCGGAGAAUGGCAGACAUGAAGGAGAAGGAGGAGAAGGUCGGCGUGGUAGAUUCCUGGGUGGCGCGGGGAGAUGGCGAAGCCUACUACCGGUACAUGGGUUCCCUCACCACGCCGGCGUGCGACGAGGGGGUCAUCUGGACCGUCAUCAAGAGGGUUGCUACCGUCUCGAGUGACCAACUAAAGCUUCUUACCGACGCUGUGCAUGACGGCUUUGAGAUGAACGCGAGACCCCUUCAGAAGGUGAAUGGCAGAGAUAUCGGCUUGUUCUGCCCUGAUGAUGACCAUGAACGCUAUUACGCUGCUGCUGAUCAUUAAUUAGCUCUACACUUGAGCCAACCUGACGGAUUGACUGCAUAUGUGUUAAUUUGUUGGCAAUUAAUGGCGAAGAAGAGCGAUGACAUGGAACACUGCAAACGAUCGUGACUCUGCGACAAGCAGGGAUGUUUGUUGGCCUUGGCACGGUUCUUAGAAUUCCUUAACAAAGUCAAAGUCACAGACGUGUCGUUGUUGAUAUCUUCAAUACUUGGAUAAUAAGAGUCGAAUCUAAUAAUUUGGUGUGUGAUGUCCGCUCCAAAUUUCAAAUCAUUUCGACCCGUUCAGAAGGUGAAUGGCAGAGAUAUCGGCUUGUUCUGCCCUGAUGAUGACCAUGAACGCUAUUACGCUGCUGCUGAUCAUUAAUUAGCUCUACACUUGAGCCAACCUGACGGAUUGACUGCAUGUGUGUUAAUUUGUUGGCAAUUAAUGGCGAAGAGGAGCGAUGACAUGGAACACUGCAAACGAUCGUGACUCUGCGACAAGCAGGGAUGUUUGUUGGCCUUGGCACGCUUCUUAGAAUUCCUUCAUAAAGUUGAAGUCACAGACGUGUCGUUGUUGAUAUCUUCAAUACUUGGAUAAUAAGAGUCCAAUCUAGUAUGCUAUCUUAUUUGUGUCUUCUUUCCUUCCAUUUGCAAUAAAAAGCGCGUCGAUCACCGCAUUGCCAUUUUCUUGGCAACAUGUGCUAGAUCAUAGUUUUUUUCCUGCAAUCAUUGCACAUCAGAUCCAAUCUAAUGUGUCUUUUUAUUAUGUAGUAUCCUUGUAAUCUUUAAGUCCAGUGUUUCAUUCUUUUCAGUUUUUCUUAAAAUUUAUGUAUUUUUGUCCA
rnacentral:rRNA from 1 species